rnacentral:rRNA from 1 species
AUUGAACGCUGGCGGCAUGCCUUACACAUGCAAGUCGAACGGCAGCACGGGGGCAACCCUGGUGGCGAGUGGCGAACGGGUGAGUAAUGCAUCGGAACGUGCCCAGUAGUGGGGGAUAACCAGUCGAAAGACUGGCUAAUACCGCAUGCGACCCAAGGGUGAAAGCGGGGGACCGUAAGGCCUCGCGCUAUUGGAGCGGCCGAUGUCUGAUUAGCUAGUUGGCGGGGUAAGAGCCCACCAAGGCGACGAUCAGUAGCUGGUCUGAGAGGACGACCAGCCACACGUGGCCUGAGACAAGGCCCAGACUCCUACGGGAGGCAGCAGUGGGGAAUUUUGGACAAUGGGCGCAAGCCUGAUCCAGCCAUGCCGCGUGCGGGAAGAAGGCCUUCGGGUUGUAAACCGCUUUUGGCAGGAACGAAACGGCGCAGGCCAAUACCUUGCGCUAAUGACGGUACCUGCAGAAUAAGCACCGGCUAACUACGUGCCAGCAGCCGCAGUAACAC